GUGGGUAUAGUUUAAGGAAAACCCUAGAUUGUGAUUCUAGAAAUGGAGGUUAAACCCCUCCUGCCCACC
rnacentral:tRNA from 1 species